GAUGAACGCUGGCGGCGUGCCUAAUACAUGCAAGUCGAGCGAACAGACGAGGAGUUUGCUCCUCUGACGUUAGCGGCGGACGGGUGAGUAACACGUGGAUAACCUACCUAUAAGACUGGGAUAACUUCGGGAAACCGGAGCUAAUACCGGAUAAGAUAUUGAUCCGGAUGGUUCAAUAGUGAAAGACGGUUUUGCUGUCAAGUAUAGAUGGAUCCGCGCGUCAUUAGCUAGUUGGUAAGGUAACGGCUUACCAAGGGGACCAUGCGUAGCCGACCGGAGAGGGGGCACGACCACUGAGGAGGUGAGCGGCGAUCCAGGCACCUACGUGAGGCAGCAGUAGGGAAUCUUCCGCAGUGGGCGAAAGCUUGACGAAUCGACGGCACGUGAGUGAUGAAGGUCUUCGUAUCGUAUGACGCUCUUAUUAGGGAAGAACACAUGUGUAUGUAACUAUGCGCGUCUUGACGGUACCGGCUCAGAAGGCCACGGCAAACUACGU
rnacentral:rRNA from 1 species